CAUUCCAUAAUCAACGGCCUAGAUUUUGAUUUGAUCUUUUUUUUUUUUUAGGCAAAAGGAAAAAGGAUGAGGUUGAUGAGAUUAGCAGGGGGCAAAAAUGCAUGAGAAACUGAGAGAGGGCCAAAAGGAAGCAAGAGGAGAGUUUGAAGAAACGAGAAAAGAGUCACGCCAAAGUAAAAGAGGAAACUAAUAUAAUCUCUCUGCUUAAUGCUGCAGAGCAACAUCAGCUAGAUCUGAAACAUAAGAUCAAGCCGCAGUUGGUUUGCUGCACUCUGCUGGGAGACUAGAUUAGUUUCCUCUUCUAGUUUGACAGCCUCUUCUCUUAUUUCCUCCAACUUCUCUCUGACUUCCUUUUGCCCUUCUCUUAUGCGUUUUUGUCCCCUGCUAAUCUCACCCAUCUUAUUACUUUUUCCCAUCAGACAGUAAUUCAGAGAUUUAAAAUGGCAUGGUUGGUUUUUCUGACACCAACCUGCCAUCUUGGUUCCGAAGCUGAAAUUCCAUUUCCAUAAUCACUGAUUAAUCAGGGAAGAGUAAUUUUCUGUGAAAGCAGUGUUUUCUUUGUGGGUUUACUUCGCUUGGAAUAAGCAACAAGAAAGAGGAUGGACUCUGGUAAAAGGACACCGCAGAGGCACAAUUGCUCCGCAGUUGUCUUUUUUCCUGCGAGAACUUUAGUCAACUCCUGCCAGCUGUUCGCUGAACAAGAGAUAGAAGGUGCCCUACUUCGGAGAGACAAAGGACAAGUGAGGAAGCAGUCCAAUUGGGCUGCCAAGUGACAAGAGACAUGUGAUCCACGGAGCAACAAAAAAUUCUACUGGGAUCCAAUUGCUUAGACUCUUUUAGACUUUUAGUUGGUUAAGAACAAAUUUUUUCUUCACAAAUCUUACCAUAUUUUACACUUGUGGGAACGCCCUGCAGGUAGUUGAAUUCAGAAUAAAGUUUUGUAUUUCCGAGAAUUAUACAAAUGAAUAACAGUACAAAGAGUUGUUUGAUUGCU